rnacentral:rRNA from 1 species
AGAGUUUGAUCCUGGCUCAGGACGAACGCUGGCGGCGCGCCUAACACAUGCAAGUCGAACGAGCGAGAGAGAGCCUGCUUUCUCGAGCGAGUGGCGAACGGGUGAGUAACGCGUGAGGAACCUGCCUCAAAGAGGGGGACAACAGUUGGAAACGACUAGCUAAUACCGCAUAAGCCCACGACCCGGCAUCGGGAAGAGGGAAAAGGAGACAAUCCGCUUUGAGAUGGCCUCGCGUCCGAUUAGCUAGUUGG